rnacentral:lncRNA from 1 species
UACCUAAGAGAAAGAGCAAGAGAUGCACUUAUUCUCCUCAGAAAAUAAUGCUUUACCAGGAGCACGAGGACUCCCAACUAAUGAACAACUUUAGAAUCCAACUUAAAACACUAUGAUCAGUCUUCACAUGGAUAUAUAUAAUAUGUUAAUAAGUAAAAAGUUCCAAUUUUCCUUAUGGCAGAAAAAAAGUGAACACCACAGAUGCCAAAAGGUUUCAUGUCUUGUUGAAAGGAUCCUAAUAAAAUAUGGGUAUAAAAUCAAAAAGGUUCCACGUCUUUGUUGAAAGGAUCCUAAUAAAAUAUGGGUAUAAAACCAAAAAGGUUCCACGUCUUUGUUGAAAGAAUCCUAAUAAAAUAUGGGUAUUUUCCUUAUAGCAGAAAAAAAGUGAACAAAACAGAUGCCAAAAGGUUCCAUGUCCUGUUGAAAGGAUCGUAAUAAAAUAUGGGUGUAAAAUCAAUGUAUAAAACUUGCAUCAAAACUAUAAGUCAUACCUGAUACAGAGUCCAGAGUCCAGAGCCAAUAGAUCAUAAUCAGAAACAAGACCAACCUGCAUCAGAAGAGAACUUCAAGCUUCUGUGUGAAAUAUCAUAAUACUUGACAAGCAUAUUAUUAUGAAAUAUUUUUGGACUUAAUAUCUGAAACUAAUGUAUAAGAUUAUAUCCAUAUGAUACACACAGGCAUGAAUAGGGGUCUCAGGAGCUAAUGCAAUAGCGUACUUGUAAUAUUACUAUCUAAUAUAAAUACUAUAAAGAAAUACUCAUAAGCACUCUUAGUUUCAUUUUAAUGUACUGCGGCUACGUUCUAUUAACUAUAAUUUUCUUAAAAUUUUCAGGACUAACCAAAGUACUGGAGUCCAGUAAGUAUGUGGAAUAUAUCAAAAACUGAGUCUCUAGAAAGUAAAAUUACUAAAAGUGAGAGAUGAAGAUGUUCCUAUUCAUGUGCCAUCCAAAUAAUUUGGAAAUCAACCAUGAAGAAUAAAAGAGUGCAAAAUUCUACUGCUUCUAUUGCCAGGAGAAUAUUACUACUUUAUACUUCAUGAUUGUUGACAACAACAAUAUACCCAUUGUAUUUCCACCAAGUGGGAUCUGGAGAGGGUAAAGUGUACGCAAUCCAUACCACAACCUCAAAUGAAGUAGAGAUAUACAAGAAAAAAAUUUUGGAUAUUAAUUUGGUUUACUUCCUAAAAUCAAGAACUUCUUUCAAAAUCAAGAAGAAACCAACCAAUAAAUAGCUAAUGCAAAAAUUUUUGGAUAUUAAUUUGGUUUACUUCCUAAAAUCAACUUCUUUCAAAAUCAAGAAACCAACCAAUAAAUAGCUAAUGCAAAUUUGGUCUGCACGUUGAUAAUGAUAAAUAGUUACCCUGCCUGAUAGGCUUGGUUCAUGGAAAAAGAUUGUUACAAGAAACAUGAAGUAGAUUCUACACUACUUAUAAUCCCCUAUACCAUUAAAUAACUUACUCGAUUGGUGCAACUACGUAGCAUUUAUAAAACCCCUCUUUUUCCAAUCAGUAAGUUGUACACGGGGAAAACUGAUCGUACCUCGCUUCAUACCCUACUUUUGACAUCUCGACUCUUUGUACCCUUUUUCGUCGAACUUUGGUUGAAAGAUUUUCUUCCCAGACUAUUUUUAGUAUCUAACAAUUGAAUUGAAAAAUAGAAAAUGGCUUGGGAAGAAACGGGCCACACGUGUAGAAUGCCAUGAUUCUGGUUACUUCCUAGAAGAAAUAUACGUUGCACAUAAUUGGCAAAGACUAAAGAUAUCUGUAUAUAUCUGUAGAAAGUACCUUGUCCAACUCCAUUUUCAAGUGUUUAAUUGUGAUGGUACACAAAAAUGAGAGCAGCCCGGUGCACUAAAGCUAUCAAGGCUUGAACCCGUGACCUCCUGGUCACAUGGCAGCAACUUUACCAGUUACAGUACAGUAUCGUACAUAUAUAGGCAAUACAAAAAUGAAUCAUUUCGUAGAAACUCAUUAUUCCAAGUCCUUUGAAAUGGUUAAAGUGAUUCUAUUUACCACCAUGUUUUCUAGAUAGAAAAAUCUGUUAGCAGCCAUGUACGAGAAUUACCAUGUCGGGUUCUCGCCUGUUCAAAUUUCAGAAUUUUGACACGGACUACACCACUAAUAAAGACCAAUGCGCCAAUCUCCAAUUUCUGAACCUGCGCAACAGAGUGAAGAUCUCGAAAGUGUAGGGACUCAUCCAGCCAAGCAGCCAUGUACGAGAAUUACCAUGUCGGGUUCUCGCCUGUUCAAAUUUCAGAAUUUUGACACGGACUACACCACUAAUAAAGACCAAUGCGCCAAUCUCCAAUUUCUGAACCUGCGCAACAGAGUGAAGAUCUCGAAAGUGUAGGGACUCAUCCAGCCAAGCAGCCAUGUACGAGAAUUACCAUGUCGGGUUCUCCCCUGUUCAAAUUUCAGAAUUUUGACACGGACUACACCACUAAUAAAGACCAAUGCGCCAAUCUCCAAUUUCUUAACUUGCACAACAGAGUGAAGAUCUCGAAAGUGUAGGGGACUCAUCCAGCCUAUAGGUGACAUUCAAUUAUGAAAUAUCAUUUGCUAGCCUAGCCUUGAAGCGAAGUGAGUUAUAAUUUUCACCUGUUUCUCUUGAUGCCUGAGAACGAAUAUCGCAUUUGAAGCAUCUUAGACCAUCUCAAAUCUAAAAAUGGAUACAUCAAAAGAAUAGGCUGAAAUCCUCAA